GUUUUUGUUUAUAAAUGGCCGCCAAACAUGCACAGACAAAAAAUGUCGUGUUAAUCGAAUUGAAUAUAAACAUGUUCCCUCGAUGAAGUGUGCACUUUUUGGCUAAUCUAUUGACAGGGGGAUUUUACAGCCUCUUCUAGAAAAGUUGCGAGUGUUUAAUUUUGUAAAUUCUUGUCGUAAAUAGUUAAAUUUCUGUCUACAUCUGAACUACAACAAUGAGGAUAAGUGGUAUUGUCCCAGCGCGUUUUCUGACCAUCGUAGCUCAUGUCAUAAUACUCAUCAUCCUCUUCUGGGCAAAGGAUGACAAUAUCAAACAAUGCUUACCAUCAACGUACACCCAAUCUGAGUACGACUCUAAAGACACAGAAAUGAUCAUUGGUCUGUCUGUGGGGCUGGGACUGAUGCUUAUAGAGCUCAUCGGAUUCAUUGGUGGAAUCUCCAUGUUCAUGCCAUUCCAAAGCAUGCUUUGUAUCCUUAUGAAAAAGUUUGUCAGAUCUAUAUGUGAUUUGUGCUCAGGCUAUCAUUUCUAGGUAUAGCAUGAAAGAAGUAAACAUACACAUAACCGUGCCCACUGAAAAAUGUUAAAAUUCUUAAGACUUGUGUAUAACACGUGCCUUUUUUAAGCCAAAAUUUGAUGAAGAAAUUAAUAAGUCUUGUUCUUAUUAAGAAAUUUUAGCAGCUGAUGGGUGUUGACUAGAUCACAAAAUCAAAAUUAUGGUAAGCUUAAGUAUGUAGUUAAAAAACCCAACAAAUUUUACACAGAUAACCAAACAUUGAGAUUUUGUUUCUUAUUUGUCCUUGACCUUUAAUAGCUGUUUCUGCCCAUUGUGGUGCUUGUGUGUCAUUAGCGUACUUUAUUUUAUGGGAAAUGCCUUGUCAUCGUUAUUGGUAUAUCUUUGGAUUUUCAACCGCUUUCCCAGCUCUGACUGAAAUCAUCACAUUUAUUCAGAUUGUCUGCUUAAGAAACGGACAACUGUAAGAAACCAAAAUAUGGGAAUGUUUAAUAGAUAGUGCUUCAAGAAAUUCCAAACAAUUCUAGAAAUGACCUUGACCUGACCUAGCUGUUGCCUGUCAUGCAGGGGCGGUGAUAGCCCUGUUUUUCUUCCUGUUUGAGUUUUGGCCGUGUUCGUAUUACUGGUACAUCUUUGGAUUCUGCAGUGCGUUACCUGCGGUGACGGAGAUGAUGGUGUGGUUAGGAGUUGGGUUCUUUCACAAAGGGCUAUAGACCAAGUGUAACAUCAGUAGAGCUUGUGAUGCCUAGAGGUAGCAACAUAUCUGUAUGCAGUCAAUUUUUGAAUAUUUACAGAAAAUUAUUUUUAUAUAUACUGACUUUAUACAAGGUUGUGAAAGAGAGACAGGUUGUCAAGAUCUUGACUAGUGUAUGCCAGACAUUUAUGUACAAGAUCUUGACUAGUGUAUGCCAGACAUUGAUGUACAAGAUCUGUGUAGUGUAUAUGAUUUUGUGUAGUUGAUUAAUGAAUGAAAUAAAUAUGAAUUAUU
rnacentral:misc_RNA from 1 species